AGACUUGCCAAAAAACAGGAUUUGAAUUGAAUUUUAUCGAUUGCUUAGAAACGGAACAAGUUAUCGGAAACAAAAACGAGCUGAGUGGGAAGGGGUGCUGAAAUUCUUGCGUUCAUACAUGCGCACAGCUCGACGCGGCUGUUGCUGAUCAUCACGAAUAUACAUAUAAACACUGGAUAUCUUCCUUGGCCGAUGGUGAAAUGAUGGAAUGGCGACUUUUAUAAGCGUGAACUCUGCGAAGCAUAAUGUGCGUUCAUACCAUCGGGCAAUGCUCGAGCGAUGUGGUGGUAUUGUGCUGGUCGUUUGGUCUCUUUUGAAUUUGGUGGUACACAAGAUAAAUCAAUGUGUAGUGCCCCUAGUUUUUUAUAGCUUUGGGGAGCCUAAACUGGGCACUUGGGGUAGGUCAGCUCUCUGGUCUGGGGAGUUAGCCCAUUCUACCCCGUUUUGUCUAUGCUGUGCAACAGGCCUUCAAGGGUCAGGGUGGUCAGGGGAGGGUGACGUUUCCUGUCUAAUCGUGUUUUCUUCCAGGUGUAAACUGUGCAAAGCGGUGCACAACAGCUUAAAAUUUAUUCACAAAAUUUGCCAGGUAAACGGGUAAUACAGCCAAUAACCAUCCGACCACGCGUCCUCACCUUUACAGCUCGACAUUUGACAUUUCUUCAAUAGCAAGACAUUUUCCACUUUCUCGAGCUUCUAAAUCGUAAACAUUUUUGCGCCGACUGUAACUUUUUACUUGUUUAUUUUUUCGUGUUUCAAAUCUUUAAUUGACUAAUCUAAAUUUUUAUUUAUAAUAAUCUAAAUACUGCGUAAAUAAGUAAAUGUAAUGUGCCAUCUAAUAAAAACGACUUCAUAGAAAAGUAA